rnacentral:misc_RNA from 1 species
GCAAACUUGGUCAUUUAGAGGAAGUAAAAGUCGUAACAAGGUUUCCGUAGGUGAACCUGCGGAAGGAUCAUUAUUGAAUAAACUUGGUUAGAUUUGUCUGCUGGCUUUAAAAAAGCAUGUGCACAUCUAAUCCAUUUUUAAUCCCCUGUGCAUUUUGUGUAGGCCUUCUAACAUUUGAGUUGAAUAUGGACUCAGUUUGGAAAUUGCUGUGCUGUAUUUUUAUCUGAUACAAAACAAGUCAGCUUUUUCUUGUUAGGUCUAUGUUUUUCUAUAUAAAAAUCCCAUCUAACUGUUGGUGAAUUGUGCAUACAAAUAUAAUACAACUUUCAACAACGGAUCUCUUGGCUCUCGCAUCGAUGAAGAACGCAGC